CCUUGUGACUGACAUGCCUAGCUUGGGCUUGGUCCACUCUUGAGCCCAUCAUAGUCUUCUUUUAUGGGCCGGGUAUUCAUGGUGAUUUUUGCGUAUAACAAGCAUAUAAUUAGUUUAUAUACAUACAAACACAUAUAAAUCAGAUUAUACACACAUAAAUCAUAUUAUACACGUAUAAACACCGUACACUCGAAUAUAAUUUCGAUUAUCCGACAUGUAAAUACACGCAUAUAUGCACUGAUUCAACAAGGGGAGAAUAAACUUUAUACCCAUUGAUAUUCGAAUAGAAAGUACGAUGGAGUGAUUCGGCAGAAAUGCAAAGAAUGACCUGAUUCAGUUUGCUCGUUAGAAACAGCGGCGGCGACUGGCCGGAAAGAAGCGGCGACUGGCCGGAAAGAAAGUGGAGAAGAGGUAGCAUCAGGGUUGAAGGGAUAGAGGCGGAGAGACUGAUCGAGAGAGAUCGGGUAGAGAGGUCGGGAGAGUUGAGAGAUUGAGAGAGAAAGGUGCGGAAAGAUGAAGAAACGAAGUAAUAAGGCGGUGGAAAAGGAAU
rnacentral:lncRNA from 1 species